GAGGCGAACCGGGGGAACUGAAACAUCUAAGUACCCCGAGGAAAAGAAAUCAACCGAGAUUCCGAAAGUAGCGGCGAGCGAAAUUGGACUAGCCCUUAAGCUUUACACGCGUUAGACGAACGGUCUGGAAAGUCCGACGAUACAGGGUGAUAGUCCCGUAGUUGACGACGUGUGUUCAGUGAAAUCGAGUAGGGCGGGACACGUGAUAUCCUGUCUGAAUAUGGGGGGACCAUCCUCCAAGGCUAAAUACUACUGACUGACCGAUAGUGAACCAGUACCGUGAGGGAAAGGCGAAAAGAACCCC
rnacentral:rRNA from 1 species